GGUUGGUAGGCAGGUCGCUGAGGCACCGGCUCCUAACGGUAGCAGCACGCGAGCGCUGGGUCACAAACCUCCCCCAUCCCUCACCUGAUAGCCCGGUUAGAUGUUCUCGGUGGGAUUCGGUAAACGUUGACUUCAGAAGUAAAGACGAGAGACAAAGAUCCUGAGGCGAAGGUUGGGUGUCUGUUUGAGGAACUGGGCCAGUCUGGAAGAGCAGUUUGCACAGGGAGACCAGGAGCAGAACCAGGUGAUGGAGUAGCUGACCCUCCUCUCCCCAUGAAAUCCAUACCCAGACAGGCCAGGGCAUAAUGUACCAAGUUGGCGCAGGAACAGCAGCUGCAGAGAAAAAUAAGAAUAAAAUAAUCAUUAUACAGCCUUCA